rnacentral:rRNA from 1 species
AGAGUUUGAUCCUGGCUCAGAACGAACGCUGGCGGCAGGCCUAACACAUGCAAGUCGAGCGCUUCCUUCGGGAAUAGCGGCGGACGGGUGAGUAACGCGUGGGAACCUGCCUUUCGGAUGGGAAUAACUGUUGGAAACGACCGCUAAUGCCCCAUACGCCCUUCGGGGGAAGGAUUUAUCGCCAAGAGAUGGGCCCGCGUAGGAUUAGGUAGUUGGUAGGGUAAUGGCCUACCAAGCCCACGAUCCUUAGCUGGGUUGAGAGGAUGAUCAACCACACUGGAGCUGAAACACGGUCCAAACUCCUACGGGAGGCAGCAGUGGGGAAUCUUACACAAUGGGGGAAACCCUGAUCUAUCCAUGCCGCGUGAGUGAAGAAGGCCUUAGGGUUGUAAAGCUCUUUCAACGGUGAACAUAAUGACGGUAGCCGUAGAAGAAGUCCCGGCUAACUCCGUGCCAGCAGCCGCGGUAAGACGGAGGGGACUAGCGUUGUUCGGAAUUACUGGGCGUAAAGCGUGCGUAGGCGGGCUGGAAAGUCAGAGGUGAAAUCCCGGGGCUCAACCCCGGAACUGCCUUUGAAACUUCCAGUCUUGAGUCCGGAAGAGGUGAGUGGAAUUGCGAGUGUAGAGGUGAAAUUCGUAGAUGUUCGGACGAACCCCAGUGCCGAAGGCGGCUCUCUGGUCCGGUACUGACGCGACGUACGAAAGCGUGGGGAGCAAACAUGCUUAGAUACACUGGUAGUCCACGCCGUAAACGAUGUGUGCUAGUCGUUGGGCAGUAUACUGUUCAGUGGCGCAGCUAACGCGUUAAGCACUCCGCCUGGGGAGUUCGGUCGCAAGAUUAAAACUCAAAGCAAUUGACGGGGGGCCCGCACAAGCGGUGGAGCAUGUGGUUAAAUUCGAAGCAACGCGCAGAACCUUACCAGCCCUUGACAUGCCCGUUUUAGAUCGUGGAGACACUUUCUUUCAGUUCGGCUGGACGGUGCACAGGUGCUGCAUGGCUGUUGUCAGCUCGUGUCGUGAGAUGUUGGGUUAAGUCCCCCAACGAGCGCAACCCUCGCCUUUAGUUGCCAUCACUUCGGGUGGGCACUCUAGAGGAACUGCCGGUGACAAACCGGAGGAAGGUGGGCAUGACGUCAAGUCCUCAUGGCCCUUACCGGCUGGGGUACACACGUGCUACAAUGGCAGUGACAAUGGGUUAAUCCCCAAAAACUGUCUCAGUUCGGAUUGUCGUCUGCAACUCGACGGCAUGAAGUUGGAAUCGCUAGUAAUCGUGGAUCAGCAUGCCACGGUGAAUACGUUCCCGGGCCUUGUACACACCGCCCGUCCCACCAUGGGAGUUGGUUUUACCCGAAGGCAGUGCGCCAACCGCAAGGAGGCAGCUGACCACGGUAGGAUCAGCGACUGGGGUGAAGUCGUAACAAGGUAACC